CGCGAAUCGCCCUUCGGGGUGCAGCAGGCGCGAAAACUUUACAAUGCGGGAAACCGUGAUAAGGGGACACCGAGUGCCAGCGUCAUACGCUGGCUGUCCAGGUGUGUAAAAUACACCUGUUAGCAAGGGCCGGGCAAGACCGGUGCCAGCCGCCGCGGUAACACCGGCGGCCCGAGUGGUGAUCGUGAUUAUUGGGUCUAAAGGGUCCGUAGCCGGUUUGGUCAGUCCUCCGGGAAAUCUGAUAGCUCAACUAUUAGGCUUUCGGGGGAUACUGCCAGACUUGGAACCGGGAGAGGUAAGAGGUACUACAGGGGUAGGAGUGAAAUCUUGUAAUCCCUGUGGGACCACCUGUGGCGAAGGCGUCUUACCAGAACGGGUUCGACGGUGAGGGACGAAAGCUGGGGGCACGAACCGGAUUAGAUACCCGGGUAGUCCCAGCCGUAAACGAUGCUCGCUAGGUGUCAGGCAUGGCGCGACCGUGUCUGGUGCCGCAGGGAAGCCGUGAAGCGAGCCACCUGGGAAGUACGGCCGCAAGGCUGAAACUUAAAGGAAUUGGCGGGGGAGCAC
rnacentral:rRNA from 1 species